CUGAUCUAUAAUCAACACUAACCUAUUAUUCUAUUUAUCCCACUUUUUAUUCAGUAAACUAUUUUUAUUUAAACAAAAUAAGUUUUCAUGAGUGUUUGUCGUACUUUGAUAAUGACUGUAGUGUAACCAAGGUCAGUGUAUUACUCCGCGUUCCAAAAAUAACCGCUGAUCAAAUAAUCAUUUUUUUUUAAAUCAGAAUAUCGUUCUGUAACAAAGUGUCGAGCGUUAUUUAUUACAAUUUUAAUCAUAUUGAAUUGCAAAUCUUUAAGUUUUAUGAUAUCAAUAUGGCAUUAAGUUGUUAUAUACAAGGAACUACAUUUGUUUACAACGUAGCCUAACACCACACACAAUUCACUUUCGAUAUCAAACUAUCGAGUCGAUCACGAGGUGCACAAUAUUUCCUUCUUUGUUAUAAUAUGUGGUUAUUUCGUGACAAAAUAACAAAGAUUACUUGAAUUUAAGCUAAUUUUAUACAUUAACAUUUUGAAUGUUGAAAGUGGCACCAAAGAAUUGUGAGGCAAAGUUGUUCGAACUAGAGAAAGACAUUUGCAAGUGAAGUGACUGGGUGGGGCGAACAUCAAGAUCAACUUGUUCGACGGUAGACAUCGGUUGUCUAGGCUGCAUUUCGGCCAUAGUUUCAGUGCGUGAAGGUGAACAAGAGGAAUCUGUUGGAUUGUUACAUUUACUGGACUGAGCAAGAAUGAACACUUUUGCAGCUGUUCAACAGAUAUGUUGGAAUAAUUGGUUAUGGACUGGACAUUUUUGUGCCCUGUUAUGGCCAUGGUUUCAGUGGGUGGAAUGUUUGCAUUUCGAAGUUUUUGGACCAGGAAUUUGCGAACUGAGUGGUUCGUUAUUCUCUUGUGCUUGAGAAAGCCGGCGUCUUUUGCCAUGGCCUUCAGCAUCUGACCUAACUUGUUGACACCCAAUUGUUGACGCAAGAAUCACCGGGAUGCAGUGUCAUUUGUGCGUAUUGCCAGGUAGAAAAGAUGCUUUAAAGAAAAAUCAGAUGGACGCAUAUCCAAGUACAUCUUGUAAAUGAACACAGGAUUUCUUGGUCCAGACGAUUGUUUUCUACGGUCAAAGGGGAGCAACUCGAACUGACUUCUUCAAAGGGGAGCAACAACAACAGAACCUAUUUGCAUAGUGUUAAAUUUACCUAAUACUAGGUUUUAAUGACAAUAAAUGACAAAAAACUCGUUUUUUGCUACUUUCCUUUGUUUUAAGGUCAUUAAGAUUGACAAACAUUUGAGAUUGUUUUUAUUAUUGAUGCACUUGGCAAAUACAGGUGACGAGGUGCGUGGGAAAAAGUAGUCCCGGUUCGGCAGUUGAUGACGUCAUUUCGUGCCAUUGAUUAUAGCCUUGCCGUUGAUUAUAGAUGAAAUUUAAUCAACGGGGCUUUAAUCAACCGAUUUCGCUGUAAAAGUGGGAUAAAACGCCAUUUGCAAUGGAGAAACCGCGUAUAGGUAGGCCUCCGACAUUAACGCAAUCAGCUCGUAAACGACAAAGAAAAGCAUCAUGCGACAAAAAGAAGGCCAGAACUAUCGAUCUGGGAGAUUCGCUUGAGGCAUGAACUCGCCUGAAGAAUGAAAAUAAAUGCACGGACUCGGAGUUGGUGAAAAUGCUCAUCGCAUCACAAUCAAAAACAACCGUCUCGGCCAAAGAAAAACAUUCUGAGUUAGAGGAAAGUUCAACUUCAACACACUCAAAAAGAAGAAAGCUGUCUACACCAAAGUCAAAGCUUGUGGAACAACCACACUGGUCAAGUGAAUUGUCAGAUGUUGCACAUGCAAGUGGCAGUUCAUGAAUAUCUGGCGUCCAGGAGAUGUCGGACUUCACAGACAUGGACCAUGAUAGAGUGAAUAAUCCAGAUACCCCGUCCAGUCCAGAUGCAGGUGCCAUCCGUGAUAGUAAGGACGCAACUUUCCAACUUGAGGAAGAGCUUGACAUUUCCUUUUCACAUAUGGAAUGAGACAUUGAGGUGAGCAACGUGCCAGAUGUAGGGCCGAUCGAAGCUGGAGACUUUGGUGAUGAAGAGAAUGAUGACGAUGAAGAGGACAAUUGUUCCCCCAAGCUUCAGAAAUUGAAAAGCAUCACUGAGGAACACUGCAAGCAGCCCAUGUACCUACUCACAGAUUCUUGUUUGGUUUCACUGCUGGCUGACAUCCCAGUAUCCUGUAGAUGUGGGGAAAAACCAAAGCCGACAAAAAAGAGAGUUGGGUCGGCUGUCACAGUAAACUGGAUUUGUGAUUGUGGGAAGACGGUGAAGUCUUUGGCAAGCCAGCUUGCAUUGCGUUACGGCUCUUUUCUGGGCAAUUUUAUGCUCAUGGCAUCAACAAUUUUGUCUGGCAACAACUAUCAAAAGGUUGCACUGCUGGCCAAGUUCAUAAAUCUUGGUCUCCCUCAUAGAACAACCUUCCAAAAGAUCCAGGGAUAUUUUGUCGCUCCUACAGUUGAGCAGUACUGGAGUAAUAUUCAAGCCUCAGCCAUUGAAGAGACCAGAGCAACAAAUGUAGUCAUUUCAGCUACAAAAGGAAGUUUUCCAAGAGAGGGAACAAGUGGACAGUGUACCCAGUGAAGGUGACGAAGGCCUUCAGCUACAUUGAAAAGCUGGUGGUUGCAGCAGUCAACGAGUACUGCACAGGCAAGAAACGAAUCUACCAUCCAAUCAAAAGACAGGCUGGCGAUUCCAGAAACAUUGCUUCCACCAUUGCUUCCAUCGAACUGCAGAACUUCUCUCAAAGGAAGUCAAGAUUGGCAAAAUGGAGGAAGAAUCUGAACUAGGCAGAUUAUCUGCAAACAUUCAAAGACACUGAUGUCUAUUGUGUUGGAAUUAUUGAUGUUUUUGUUUUAUAUUUGUCAAAAAGAUUCACAGGCAAUCUAAAUCAUAAUACUUUCAAGCAUUAACACAGUAUUAUUAGCUCGGCUGUUUUUGGAGGUAUUGUCAUAGCCUCCUCGUCGUCCCCCGUCGUGCUAAAACCUUUACAUUGGCUCUAAAAUUAAAGUGCUUCCACCUACAACUUAGAAACUUCAUAUGUACAUGCACCUUGAUGAGUUCUACACGCCACACCCAUGUUUGGGUCACUAGGUCAAAGGUCAAGGUCACUGUGACCUCUAAUAUAAAAAUUUAACUUUGCCUCUAACAUCACAGUGCUUCCACCUACAACUUUGAAACUUCAUAUGUAAAUGCACCUUGAUGAGUUCUACACGCCACACCCAUAUUUGGUUCACAAGGUCAAGGACACUGUAACCUCUUAAAAAUUUUAAAAAAACCUGUCAAGCUUUCGCAGCCGAGCGUGGCACCCGUUAUGCGGUGCUCUUGUUCUCAUCAAAUUUUUAUCAAAUGUUCAUCUCAACAGUGCUGUGAAGAAAUUAUGCCACCCUUGUGCUAGCUCCUCAAUGCCAAGGUCUACUGAAGGAGUUUUUCAAAUGCCUGUUUUAAAAACAACGGGACGUAUUAUAGUUUCACCUUGGCGGCGGGCGGGCGGCGUACACAGCAGUGUCCGCCUUCUAAUUCAAAUAGUUUUCAUCCGAUCUUCACCAAACUUGGUCAGAAGUUUUAUCUAGACAAUAUCUAGGUCAAGUUCGAAUAUGAGAUAUGCCGGGUCAAAAACAGGUCACAGAGUCACUAAGUGCAUUUCCAGCAUUUAGCAUGGUGUCCGCUCUCUCAUUGAAGUAGUUUUCAUCCGAUCUUCACCAAAUUUGGUCAGAAGUUGUGUCUAGAUGAUAUGUAGGUCCAGUUCAAAUGUGGAUCAUGGGAAAGGUAUACAGUUGUCCAAAACCUUCAAACGGGCGUAUCUUGUGACAGUUUGGCACUCUUGUUCACUCCUGAAGCAAAGCUGUAGCUGUUUGUGUCCCCCACUCUGUACUGGGGGACAUAUUGUUUUUGCCCUGUCUGUUGGUUUGUUUGCUAGUGUGCGUCAAACUUUAACAUUGGCCAUAACUUUUGCAAUAUUGAAGAUAGCUACUUGAUAUUCGGCAUGCAUGUGUAUCUCACAGAGCUGCACAUUUUGAGUGGUGAAAGGUCAAGGUCAUCCUUCAUGGUCAAAUAUAUGGGGGAUAUAGUGUUUCACAAACAUUUUUUUUCUUUCAAACAUAACAUUUUCUUCUGUCUUCUUAUUAUUCUUGACAAGUAUUAUGUAAUAAACAACAGUUGCAUGAUUGCAAAUUUACACAUGGAAUGAUGGUGGUUAUACUGCCACCACAUGAAGCUCAGCUACGUUGUCGAAUGAAACGUAAAAAUGGGUGGAGCUUUGAAUACACAGUUAAUAUUGUUGUCUGCAAACAAAAUAGCGGCCGGUCGCAAAUGUCGUAUUAUAAGAU